ACAGCUGUGCUGCAGACUUCCUGCUAGGGACUUUGUGUUUAAGCUCUGUUAUCCAACUUUCACCUACCUGGGAAAAGCUCAUCAAUUUAAUAGUUUUAGAAAUGGCUCUUUAUGGGUACAGCUAAUGGCAGUUAUGCAAGUCAAAUCAUUCUCUGGAAAUCCUCUGAUACCUGAUGUAUUACUUCAGCAGCAAAUUCAACAAGGCCAAGAUGUCUUCAUUUUCCUCCAGAGCAAGAGCUGUAUGAGCAGUGUGAUGGAAGUAUUGGUCUUCUGUGGCCAGCCGGCGAGAACCCAUCAACAGCUGUGAUGAGCAGAGCAGACACGGAGAGACAGGAGGCAGCUGAAGCCAAAGAGGACCCACGCCUGAAGCUGUGUGUGUGUGAUUGGAGCAGAGAGAGGCCAGGACCCAAGGAAAUCCCAGCAGCAAGGGAAAAAAACAGAUUGACUCUCAGUGACUCAUUUAGCUCCUGGAUUGGACAGAUCUCUCCCCUGCUGGCAAUUUGGCUGAGCAUCAAUGGACAGAUACCAGGAUGAAUAGCUUAAAAUAAUUAGGGGUUGGGAAUAUGCAAAACUGCUAGCCAUCCAAUUCUUUACUCUGCAAUGUGAGGCACAAAAAAGAAAUUACAUUUAGGUUAUUAAAUAUUAAGUCAGUGGAUUUGCCUCCAUUUGGUCCAGAACAGGAAACUGGAUAAAAUUCAACAUUUAUUUCAUUGUGUUGAUGGCCUGUUUAUCACUGAGCGGAAAAGAAGAGAACAGAGGAAUUUGACAAAUGAUGGCAAUUGAGACUUCAUGAUUUAAGAACAGCAUCUCAAGCAGUUGCUCUGAAGUGGUUCUCCAUGUGAAAUGAGGAUGCCGCAUGCUUAUCAGUGGUGAUACAGGUAUAUGGCUACAGAUGCCUUGCCCCUCAAAAGCUUCGUGUUUGCCAGAGUCAGGGAUGAAGAACACCAGGUAUUUCCAGGGAUACUGGAGUGGCACAUGUUCCAGAAAGUUUGAAGUAAAGUGUCUGCUUUCACUGCUCAGGUUCAAGCCCAUUAAAGGAUUUGAGGAAAUCCAUUCAGUACUUUGCACAGAGAACAAAUGUGAACCAUUCCAAUGAGUUGCAGGCUCUGGAGCAGAUCAGUAUGAGGAAUGGUUGCAGGAGCAAAGCAAACUCCAGGAGAGGGACCUGCAUGUGCCAUGCAGCAGAAGCUCCCACAGACACCAGUUUCCCCAGCAUGGGCCAGACUGUUGGCUUAACUCUGCUGAUCUCCCCUCCCUAGUACUCUCCUCCAGCCCUCAACAGCACUUCAGUGGUGUCAACAGCCUUCAGUAGCCUCCAAAAGACCUGCAGCAAAAGAGAGAACAGUGAGGAAGAAGAGCCUGCAGAGGUAACUAAGAGUUAACUGGCUACAUUUCAGCUGUCACCAUUGUCUUACAUCUACAGAGAGAGUGGGGAGAGCCAAGGAGAUGUAAGUACAGCAGGCCACUGGGAAAAAGAAAACGUUUAUAAGUAGAAAUUUCUCCUCAGAAGCCUCAGAGCAAAUCUUUCCAGUUUGUCUUGAUUUUUCUUCCCCUAUUUUUUAAACACAAUGUGUGGUGGAAAUGAUUGUUAUUAUCCAAAGGACCUUACUUGCUGGCUCGCUGCAUCUCUGUUUAUGAAAUGCCAUAACAAAAGUGAGCUCACGCUUGUGUGCUUCCAAUGCGUGAUGUUCCUGUGUGCCAGAUGGGCACUUUCAUGACUGUAUGAGCGUGGAUUAUUUCAUUUCCUACAUCUGGGACUCCAAAUGGCUGCACAGAAUGCCACAGGAGAGAGGCACAGAUCUUCAGCUGGGGAAGCCUACCUUCACAAGGGAACUGGCUACAUCAGAGGGGAUGAGGCAGAGAAGCCCCGAGUGAUAUCUGAAAGUUCACAUAAACCAGGGCCAUAAGGGAAACCUUUAGAACCAGGAACAAGACAAAAAUAAACAAUAACUAAUGCUGGAUGUCAGCUGCAGAGUUGGGGGAGGGAAAAUAAACCAUAAGCAGUUUCUUGCCUGGCC
rnacentral:lncRNA from 7 species